UAGGGAAUCUUCCACAAUGGACGCAAGUCUGAUGGAGCAACGCCGCGUGAGUGAAGAAGGUCUUCGGAUCGUAAAGCUCUGUUGUUGGUGAAGAAGGAUAGAGGCAGUAACUGGUCUUUAUUUGACGGUAAUCAACCAGAAAGUCACGGGCUAACUACGUGCCAGCAGCCGCGGUAAUACGUAGGUGGCAAGCGUUGUCCGGAUUUAUUGGGCGUAAAGCGAGCGCAGGCGGAAUGAUAAGUCUGAUGUGAAAGCCCACGGCUCAACCGUGGAACUGCAUCGGAAACUGUCAUUCUUGAGUGCAGAAGAGGAGAGUGGAACUCCAUGUGUAGCGGUGGAAUGCGUAGAUAUAUGGAAGAACACCAGUGGCGAAGGCGGCUCUCUGGUCUGCAACUGACGCUGAGGGCUCGAAAGCAUGGGUAGCGAACA
rnacentral:rRNA from 1 species